rnacentral:SRP_RNA from 1 species
CCGUACUAACCGGGGUUGUAGCGGCACCCUGUACCCAUAAUCCGCUAUAAUGGGGGUGAAUGCUUAAUUGAGGAUUGUUCAUAUUUUUGUUGAGCAGCAUCUAAGCGUGUUGAGAAGUCGGUCCUGUGCAACAAAGUGCUGUGAACCUCGUCAGGUCAGUGAUGAAGCAGCGAUAAGCAGAAUGUCUUUCGUGUGCCGCAGGAGUGCCGGUUUUGAGCGUUUACUGCUGAGUUCGCAUUGAUGUGACUUUUCGAUUUUAAGCCGUACGG